rnacentral:rRNA from 1 species
AUUGAACGCUGGCGGCGUGCUUAACACAUGCAAGUCGAUCGGUAACAGGUGUAGCAAUACAUGCUGACGAGAGGCGGACGGGUGAGUAAUGCUUGGGAAUCUGCCUAUUAGUGGGGGACGAACCCGGGGAAACGUACGGGCGUAAUACCGCAUACGCUCUACGGAGGAAAGCCGGGGACCGCAAGGCCUGGCGCUCAUAGAUGAGCCCAA